rnacentral:tRNA from 1 species
AGAGGACUGAAAAUCCUCGUGUCACCAGUUCAAAU